GGCUCGUUAGUUCAGUGGUCAGAACGCCCAUCUGCAUUUUCGAGGAGGUCGAGGGUUCGAAUCCCUCACGAGCCA